UACGUAGGAGGCGAGCGUUGUCCGGAAUUACUGGGCGUAAAGAGCGCGUAGGCGGCACGGUACGACCGGUGUGAAAGCCCCGGCUCAACUGGGGAGGGUCACCGGUAACGGCCGAGCUACGAGUGCAGGAGAGGGAAGUGGAACGUCCGGGAGUAGCGGUGAAAUGCGUAGAGACCCGGAGGAACACCAGUGGCGAAGGCGGCUUCCUGGUCUGCAACUGACGCUGUGGCGCGAAAGCCAGGGGAGCAAACGGG
rnacentral:rRNA from 1 species